UGUACAUGUAGUUCUCGUAUUGUUUUUGUGCUCGUAAUUCACAUUGAUUCCCAAUGAGUUCUUUUGUUUUUCCUCAGCGUAACGACUUAUUUCAAGGACUUAUUUAUGUAUAAAUGUUAUUAAAUUCGUAAAAAUAAAACAGUAUCAUUGUGAUCUGAGAGGAGGAAGACUCAUUUGACUAUUUAAAUUUGAGAAGAUGUUUGCUAAGCUGGUUAUCUUAUUCGCCGUCUUGGCUUUUGCCAUGGCUCGACCUCAGCAGCUAUACUCCGGAUAUUAUAAUACCUACUCAGGUGGAUAUCCAAGCUACUAUGGAGGCUACUCAGGUUAUUCAAACCCAUUAACAUACAGCGGCUACAGUGGUUAUGGUGGCUAUCCCUAUAACAGUUAUAAUGGUUACAAUGGAUUUUACUAAGCAAAACCUAUAUACUAAGGCGGUUUAAUAAUUUAUAUAUAUAAGUAUUUCGAUAACAAACAAUUGAAUACCGCUUGAUGUUUCAUGUUUAUCAAAAAGUUAUAUUAUAAUCUGUUAUACAUGUUCAAUUUUUAGAAAUGUAUGUUUGUAAUGUGUUUAUAGAAAUGUAUGUAACAUCUAAUUAAUGAAUUUGGUUUUGGGAAAUUACAGUUUACACCUGAAAUGUUAAAGACAUUUAUAUGGAACAUGUAUGUAAAAAUAUCGAUAAUAAAUAAUAUUAAGAG